rnacentral:lncRNA from 1 species
AUGCAUUUAUCCAUUUAUUUAAUCAACCACUACUAACGCCUACUAAAGGCCAGACACUGCUCUAAGUACUUUACGGAUAGGAAAUAUCCUUUCACCUUUACACUCACCUAUGGACUGCGUAGUAUAAUCAUCCCCGUUUUACAGAUCAGGAAACUGACACACAGAAUGGUACAGUAACUUGCCCAAGUUCACACAGCCCGUAGGUGGCAGAGCUAGGACCCAUCUGACAGAGUCUGGCUCCAGAGUCCACGUUCCCAAUCACCACGCUUAGUCUCCAAAAACCUAGAGACAGCGCCAGCCUUAAUCGAAAAGUUUUGUUUUCCCCACCCUACAGUCCCUACGCGGCCCCAGUCUCCAGGGCACUCUUUCAGCUCCUCUGACAGGCCAUAAUCCUUCCUUGCCCUGUCCAAACACUCUCCCGCACAAGUCCUCCUUUUCUUUUAGGCAUCUGCUCUCAGCUUAAACAUCACUGCCUAAGUCACAAAGUCUAUCAGUAAAUGCUGUAUUUCUCAGCACCCAACACGAAAUAGUUUUUACGUAUCUCCUAGGUAAUGAGUUGCUGCCUAUCUGUCCUUUCCAACUAGGCUGUGAGGCCCAGUACGUCAAACACCCUGUCAGUCUUGCUCACCCAGUGUCCAGACCACUGAACACGCACCGACCAGAGGAAAGGAAGGACUUGUCCCAAAGUCAACUCUCCAGACUUUCUGUGGAAGGGGGGAACGAACGGAGCACCCUUGAGCCUCACGCUUUCUUUGCCAGACUUUCAGGUGGGGGACACAUACCUGUGCUCACAAUGCUCCCCGGACAGCCCCCACUGCACCCCUAACAGGUAGACUUCUGCACAGUCACGGGCUUUGGAAAGCACUGGCUCUGCACACGAAUAUUAUGUGGCCCUCGACAGGCCACUUCCCCUGAACCGGCCUGAGCUUCAGGGGCACAGCAGGCUUCAUGAAAACCCCAACGGAACGUAGCCUCUAAAAGAGGGAGACCUGCACUCCUCAGAACGCGUCGAGUCCAGUGUCCUUACCGACUUCGCGUCUGGCCUUCCAAGAAGCCAAGACCACGGGUGCCGCUUCAGCGCCCGACUCCCGGGCACCGCAUCCCCAGGCUGGCCCCUGGGCAGGUGCCCGGCACACACCGCCCGUUCCACGAACGCGUGAAGCGCCCGAAGAGACCCCCUCGCUCCCCGCGCCGCACAGCUAUCCCGCCACCUGA